UGCGCCUGGUUUUUCUUUUCGUCGGCGCCGUACCAACGACUGCGGCCACCGAGGGUCCCCCUAGUGUGAUGUGUUGUGACGCGCUUUUUUUUUUUUCUUUUUUUCGGUGUCUUGACAGAGACGGCGACUUAAGCCUAAACGGCUUGCGGCGGGUUUUCGUUUCUACGUGUAUCACAAGUCACGCUCGCCAAACUUGCAUCGCUCUCCUGUCGGAGCAAUCUAGCGGUGAUAGCUAGCGCUCUGCGUUGCCCGACACUAUGUCACGUUUUGUGGCCUACUGUCACCCAUGGAGGUCCAAACGCCGCGUCGCUUCUCACGAGGCGGUCGCCGCUGGUGAAAGCGCAUCGCGAAAUAAGGUUUAUUUACACGACAGUGCCCCGUUAUGUAGUCCGUAAUGCCUCCGUACAGGCGCUGCUUUUUCCAUUUGCUGCAUCCACGCCACCGGCGAUUCCGCUAAACCGCUGAUUCACGCCGCGUAUCGGGUUAUCGGAAGCGCCGCAUUGAGUAAGCGGAUCGUGACUGGCGUCUUCUGGACGCGACGGGGCCUGAACCGCAGAGCUGGACAACCGGUGUGCAACCGGUGUGUUUACUCGACGCGUGCAGGACUAGCACUUAUCCAUCCGGAAUUGGUAGCCCUCGUGAAUGCAGCCUAGUAGAAACGAUCCAGAAAGAAAAAAAAAAUGCGGCUACCUGACCGAAGUACCUGGAGCGUGCCCGAAAAUAGAGCGGCUGUUUGACGACUCGAAAGGGUAGAAGAAAACGUCUGUACGCGAUCGUGCUACGGCGUUGUGAGAGCGGACGCUGGAGCGAUCUUGCGGCGUUCGCGCCGCUGUCGUUGAGGGGCUAUAGAAUUGCGGAACGCGCAUGGAAGUGACCAUGCAGUUCGCACCGAUUGAACCUGGUGCCCGUCUUGCUUUCUUUUUUUCCCCCUUAUUUUCUCUUUGGCAAGCUCCCGUUACGCGCACACCGCAGCAAGCGCGAAGGUUGACGGACGCCAAUCUGGCGUCGUGUGUGAGAGCGCCACUUUCACUGGACGGCACUUUCUUUGCUAGCUGCACAACCACCAUACACGGCAUGCCCAUCCCGAGGGUGGCACAGCAGUGCAUGCAGUGUUCAGCUUUGGAGCCGGUUUCUAGACUUCACACCCAGGGACUGGAUUUAGCCACUUGUGGCACAAGUCUGCCAGCAUCUUGUCAAAAGUGUGCACAUUUCAACUUCGUAAUGAUUUUUUUUUCUUUUUGUCGUGUAGUUGGUUUAUGGAUCACUGUGAACAUCUUGCAGCAUGAAAAGACAGUGGACUAUACGGGAGGACGAUGCACUGGUGCUGAACUUUCAUCUAGAUUUAUUUUUGCAGUUUCAAGCAAAACAAGUUUUCGGAAAGACAACUACAAUUGAGUGAUUUUUAUGCUGGACACAUCGAUUAUACAAACCAACCUUGUAAGGCAGCGACAUCACCUGAUAGGACCAAUGAAUUUUCAAGAGCUGUUGUUUGAAUAUUUCAUUAAUAAACUUCGUAAACAUU